CCCUACUAUAAUUGAUAAAAGCAAGGAUUUUUCAAUGUUUAUAUCAAGAAUAACAAACUUUUGAAAUAUUGCAGUUGGAACUUCUGUUUUAGACAUUGAAAGCAAAGUGGCUCAAAGUCUACAUUCGAUGGCAAUAAUUCAAACAACAUGUACAUGACGGUCAUUAUAAAGAAGACAGUCUGUUGAUGUACAUGUUCAUGUAACACUAAUUAUGUCAGAAGGACCAGCAAAAUACUAUACCCCAAGGGUAGCGAACUGCACACGUCCAGAGGCCCGUGUUAAUGCAGUCAGAAGUAGGGGCAAUAAGCCUGAUUGGUUUUCUCAUGACCCAAGUCGCCCGGAAGCUGGAGAAAAUCCAUUCAUUCCCCGAGGAAGAGGACAAAGACCCGAGGGAGGUCGAGUCUCAGAUAAGUUUCGCAAACAGAAACCAGAUUGGUUCCAACAUGAUCCAUCGCGGACUGAUAUUAGCAAAUCUCCUGUAGGGAGGGGCAAAAAUGAAGAAGCAGUUGGAAUCAAAACAAAAAUAUAUGGGGACCAAGAAUCCUGGUAUAAACAUGAUGAAAAUAGGAAUUAUAGUCCUCCAAAGAAACCUCUUCGUGUUACUGCAGUUGGUGCCGAACAAAACGCAAUAAAAAAUAAACCUAUGGGUGACGUUAAUUGGUAUAAACAUGAUGGCUCAAAUGUUGCUCCAUAUCAGAAGCCACCAGAAAAGGGUACCGACCCUCGUUUGAAAGAAAAUGCUACUAAUUUCAAGAAUCGAAAAUCUGAUUGGUUUGAGCAUGACCCUAACAAUGACUACCAUGAUCCUAUCCCCCCUCCCAGGGUAUCCUCCCCAGAGGCAACCUCAAAUGCCCAAAAGCUACGGGGCAACACCCCUAUAUGGUAUAAUGCAGAUGAGAACUAUGGAUACUCAUCACCAAAACCUGCCCCGAGAUUAGCAACAGAGGCAGCUGAGGGUAUCGCAGAGAAAAACAGAGGCACAAUGGAUAAAUGGCUCAAGCCCGAUGACAGCCGAAAUUAUGAAACGGAUCGCCCUCAAGCUCGAGUUAAGCCUGAGGCUGAGUCAAUCGCUACACGCAAUCGUGGCCAGAUGGGUGCUUUAUUGGAUCAUAAAGGUGGCAGCAGAAUGGACCAGUCCUACGCAAGAGCAGUUAAACCUGAAGCUUUGGGUAAUGCUGUGAAAAGUCGUGGCAAUAUGGAUAAAACAUUAAAUCAGGAUGACAAUUGGGGAUAUGAAUCUGCCAAACCAGCAGCUAGGGUUAAACCUGAAGCUGAAGAGAUUGCAAGGAGAAACAAAGGUGUAAUGAAUGAAACAUUAGCAGUUGAUGCUUACCCAAGUGCCCCUAUGAAGCAAAAGCCUAAAGGAAGAGCUGUUAAGUCAGAGGCACAAGAAACGUCAAUUGCAAAUAAAGGCAAUAGGACUAAAGAGCUAAUAGGAGAAUAUGGCAAUCUUGGACUCUCCGUUCGACCUAUUCCAAGGAUUAAACCAGAGGCAGAGGAAUUCGCAAAUAAACAUAAGCCAACAGUGCAGAACUUAUUCCAUAGUUAUGGCGCAUUGCCAAUAUCUGGUCGCCCUGUACCAAGAGUGAAAAAUGAGGCACAAGACUUUGCAAACAAAAACAAUAUGUCAUCGGCUGAUAAGGCUAUGUAUAAUAAAAAAUCAUCCCGUAAGACUGCCUGGGAAUGACCUGGUCCAUGGUCAGUCAAAAGAUUUAGAGUGAUUUACAACUGGUAUAAAGUCUCAGGAUUGCUCUUUAUAUUCCCAUGUUACCCUUUGUGCUUUCCCAAUUCAAAUAAGUGAUCUCCACAGCAUUUUUUCUCAAGUGGGUGCAAAAUUCUCAUUUUCACAAUUCAGACAAAAUUUGGUCAAAAUAUGCCAAUUUUUCAUGAUUUUUCUCAUUUUCAAGUGGGUGCAAAUGGAUUUUCAGGUGGGUGCGAGCCUAUUUUCAAAAUUUCAGGUGGGUGCCGUGCCCACUUGCUUUAAUGCUGGGGAGAUCACU
rnacentral:misc_RNA from 1 species